rnacentral:rRNA from 1 species
UUCCAGACUCCUACGGGAGGCAGCAGUGGGGAAUAUUGCACAAUGGGGGAAACCCUGAUGCAGCGACGCCGCGUGAGUGAGGAAGUAUUUCGGUAUGUAAAGCUCUAUCAGCAGGGAAGAAAAAAUGACGGUACCUGACUAAGAAGCACCGGCUAAAUACGUGCCAGCAGCCGCGGUAAUACGUAUGGUGCAAGCGUUAUCCGGAUUUACUGGGUGUAAAGGGAGCGCAGGCGGUACGGCAAGUCUGAUGUGAAAGCCCGGGGCUCAACCCCGGUACUGCAUUGGAAACUACCGGACUGGAGUGUCGGAGGGGUAAGUGGAAUUCCUAGUGUAGCGGUGAAAUGCGUAGAUAUUAGGAGGAACACCAGUGGCGAAGGCGGCUUACUGGACGAUCACUGACGCUGAGGCUCGAAAGCGUGGGGAGCAAACAGGAUUAGAUACCCCUGUA